UCAUUUUCUAUUUAUUUCAGGUUCUUCAUAACAUUGUUGUUGCAGCAUACUUUCACUGGAAUAUGCUACGUGAUUCAAUAACUCCUAUUUUUCCACUGGACUGUUAAUCUCUUUUUGAUUUUGUGGAUAACUUUGUUGCAAACUAUGCUAUGAAGAGAGUUUAUUAUGUCAACUAUGCAUUGGGGAUAUCUGGACGCAGGAAACCUUGCUGGCAUCUAUUAUGAACAAAGUCAACUUGACAUGACAAUUCUGCAUUACAAGCAAGCUAUCAACUGUGAUUCUACCUUUAUUGAAGCUUACAAUAAUCUGGGGAAUGCUCUCAAAGACGCUGGACAUGUGGAAGAGGCUAUCAACUUCUAUAGGUCAUGCCUUGCUUUACAACCUAACCAUCCACAAGCCUUGUCAAGCCUUGG